AUGAUGGACUAUAGGACAGGACUGCUGCUUUUAACUCUCUGCUGGGCAGGUGUUGAUGGUCAGACUCUGACAGAAUCUGAACCAGUGGUUAAAAGGCCUGGAGAAUCCCACAGACUGACCUGUACAGCCUCUGGAUUCACAUUCAGUGACUACUACAUGCACUGGGUUAGACAGGCUCCUGGAAAAGGACUGGAGUGGAUUAGCCGGAUUGAGAGCGGUAGUGGCAGCAGCAAAUUAUACUCUCCGUCAGUCCAAGGCCGGUUUACCAUCUCCAGAGACAACAGCAGACAGCAGCUGUAUCUGCAGAUGAACAGUCUGAAGACUGAAGAUUCUGCUGUUUAUUAUUGUGCUCGAGACUCACAGUGACUGACGUUGGUUCAGCAGCUGUACAAAAUUCUACAGUCCUCAUCAGACCCCCAUCAGCUCAAAUGAAUGAUGUCUUCAGUUGGUUCAGCUCAGCCCAAGAAAAUGAUACAAUGCAGUUUGACUGAAU